GAAUGGCACCACGAGGGUUAUACUGUCUCCUUUUUCUAAUCAGUGAAACUAAUCUUCCCGUGAAGAAGCGGGAAUAAAUUUAUAAGACGAGAAGACCCUAUGGAGCUUUAAAUAUAUAGCAAAUGCUUACCCCCAUUUUUACCCUGGUGACUAAUAUUCAAUCUAGCAUUUUGAACUAUAAAUUUUAGGUUGGGGUGACCAUGGAGCAAAAAGUAACCUCCAUAUUGAAGAACCUCAUUUUAAGCAAAAAGUAACCACUUUAAGCAUCAUUAUACUGACAUUAAUUGACCCAAUAAUUUGAUCAAUGAACCAAGUUACCCUAGGGAUAACAGCGCAAUCUACUU
rnacentral:rRNA from 1 species